GGUCUCCUCAGGUCAGUCCUGCCGCUACAGUUGACAGCAACAUUGAGUAUGAGGCCAAGGAUGCUGUGGAGGCCGAGUCUUCUUCAGCCAAGGUUGUGCCAAAAAACAGCUUGGAUGUGCAGAGCCAUAAUGUUGAAAAGAAAGAUGAGGAUACGGCCUGUUGAUGAUGCCAGGACAUACAUUCUGUCUUUGAGGGACAAGCCGGGGUUUGUGGAACGAUUUAUCGAUGGUAACAAAGGUGGUUGGAGUGGCU